rnacentral:rRNA from 1 species
CCUACGGGAGGCAGCAGUGAGGAAUAUUGGUCAAUGGACGAGAGUCUGAACCAGCCAAGUAGCGUGAAGGAUGACUGCCCUAUGGGUUGUAAACUUCUUUUAUAUGGGAAUAAAAUGUUCCACGUGUGGGAUUUUGUAUGUACCAUAUGAAUAAGGAUCGGCUAACUCCGUGCCAGCAGCCGCGGUAAUACGGAGGAUCCGGGCGUUAUCCGGAUUUAUUGGGUUUAAAGGGAGCGUAGGUGGAUGGUUAAGUCAGUUGUGAAAGUUUGCGGCUCAACCGUAAAAUUGCAGUUGAAACUGGCAGUCUUGAGUACAGUAGAGGUGGGCGGAAUUCGUGGUGUAGCGGUGAAAUGCUUAGAUAUCACGAAGAACUCCGAUUGCGAAGGCAGUUCACUGGACUGCAACUGACACUGAGGCUCGAAAGUGUGGGUAUCAAACAGGAUUAGAUACCCCAGUAGUC